UAGCUCGUGAUGGGUACCGGUACGGUACACAGCCAAUAAUCCACGGGCCUGUUUCAGGCCCGUGGGGAAAAUCAGUUGAAUACAGGCCGGAAUACGGGCCUGUAUGCGAAUGUAAUCGCCCACGGCCUGCUUACAUCCUGGAACCACAGGCCCGUUACAGCACGUACAUCCUGUCCUGAAUACAGACCGUAAAUAACGGGCCUGUUUCAGCCACGUCCUGCUUACAGCCUGUGCAGCCAGUGUAUGCGCAUGCGCAGAGAGAAAGUUGCUUAGCUACGAAAUCCACCAAGAGACUGAAAAGGUGCUUCAGUUUGAUCUUCUCGUUCAGUUGCAGCUUUAAAGGAUGGAUGGAGUAAUUAUAUUAUUUAUGGAGCUGACUGCCAAGGCCAGCUUAGCAAGAAAAAGAGAGAGAGAGAGGAACUGCUAGAUGUCUCUGCAAUUCUUCUCUCACUGUCUCUAGGAGUCUAGCUCUAUAGGCUACAAGAUCUGGUUGCCUCUGACGCAGGUUGUUGACUUCUUCUGCAAUGUUAUAAGAAUACACAUCUAAAAAGGAGGAUAUGCACCUCUACAAUGACUACUAAAUAGUUGUCUGUGUCAUCAUUACUUUACGAGCUCGAGAUUCAGAUGUACCUGUGUCUAUGUCAUCAUUACUGUACUGAUUGAGCUCGAGAUUGAGGUUCCUUGUCACACUACUUGAGAAUCAUCGUGGACACACCUAUACUUUAGGAACUAUCAGAAUUUGGCAAGUAAGCAAUCAUAUAAAAACUUUAUUUGUGUUUUGCUUUAGUUAAGUUACUGGCUGCGGACAUGGCUGGUCUGUGACAGUACAAACAGUCAAACAAAUAAUGUAUAAUGUGACUGAGGACAUGGCUGGUCUGUGGACAGUACGAACAGUCGAACAACACAUUAUUUAUUGUGACAGAGGACAUGGCUGGUAGUACAAACAGUCAAACAGAAACUUUAUAAAAUUGACACACUCGAGCAGCACAAGCACUAGAAGAAACAUUCCUAUUAGUGUUGUAAACUGUCGAGCUGUCUGGCUAUGUUUGUUUCUUAAAAAUGUUAACACUUUGUGGAAUUAUUCAUGCCAAACUCAGCUUUUAACUGUAUAAAAGCAAACCGGAACUAACUGAGAACAUAGGGCUGCUUACAGGCCGUACUCAGACUGCUUUCAGCCCGUUCCACGGCUGAUUACAUGCUGAAAUCCACAGGCUGCUAAACAGUAUCUAACCAAACAGUUGAAUACACCACGUGGAUUUAUACCUGUAACGGGCCCGUGGAUUUUUGGCUGUGUAGCUUUGCAGCAGUAUCCAUGCUGGUAGCUAUGCAGCAGACCACAAUCCAGGA